rnacentral:rRNA from 1 species
AUCGAACGCUGGCGGCAGGCCUAACACAUGCAAGUCGAGCGGAUGAAGGGAGCUUGCUCCUGGAUUCAGCGGCGGACGGGUGAGUAAUGCCUAGGAAUCUGCCUGGUAGUGGGGGAUAACGUCCGGAAACGGGCGCUAAUACCGCAUACGUCCUGAGGGAGAAAGUGGGGGAUCUUCGGACCUCACGCUAUCAGAUGAGCCUAGGUCGGAUUAGCUAGUUGGUGGGGUAAAGGCCUACCAAGGCGACGAUCCGUAACUGGUCUGAGAGGAUGAUCAGUCACACUGGGACUGAGACACGGUCCAGACUCCUACGGGAGGCAGCAGUGGGGAAUAUUGGACCAUGGGCGAAAGCCUGAUCCAGCCAUGCCGCGUGUGUGAAGAAGGUCUUCGGAUUGUAAAGCACUUUAAGUUGGGAGGAAGGGCAGUAAGUUAAUACCUUGCUGUUUUGACGUUACCAACAGAAUAAGCACCGGCUAACUUCG